AUUGAACGCUGGCGGCAGGCCUAACACAUGCAAGUCGAACGAGUGGCGGACGGGUGAGUAAUGUCUGGGAAACUGCCUGCUGGAGGGGGAUAACUACUGGAAACGGUAGCUAAUACCGCAUACCAUCAGAUGUGCCCAGAUGGGAUUGGCUAGUUGGUGGGGUAACGGCUCACCACGGCGACGAUCCCUAGCUGGUCUGAGAGGAUGCCCAUACACACUGGAACUGAGACACGGUCCAGACGCCUACGGGAGGUAGCAGUGGGGUAUAUUGCACAAUGGGCGCAAGCCUGAUGCAGCCAUGCCGCGUGUAUGAAGAAGGCCUUCGGGUUGUAAAGUACUUUCAGCUGGGAGGCGUUACCCGAAGAAGAAGCACCGGCGAACUCCGUGCCAGCAGCCGCGGUAAUUC
rnacentral:rRNA from 1 species